rnacentral:rRNA from 1 species
CCUACGGGGGGCUGCAGUAGGGAAUUUUCGGCAAUGGGGGGAACCCUGACCGAGCAAUGCCGCGUGAUUGAAGAAGGUCUUCGGAUCGUAAAGAUCUGUUAUUAGGGAAGAAUGGAAUUGAUAGGAAAUGAUCAAUUUAUGACGGUGCCUAAUGAGGAAGCCCCGGCUAACUAUGUGCCAGCAGCCGCGGUAAUACAUAGGGGGCGAGCGUUAUCCGGAAUUAUUGGGCGUAAAGGGUACGUAGGCGGGCCUGCAAGUCUGAUUUGAAAGCACACGGCUUAACCGUGUGAGGUAAUUAGAAACUACGGGUCUAGAGAGUGGUAGAGGUAAAUGGAAUUCCAAGUGGAGCGGUGAAAUGCGUAGAGAUUUGGAGGAACACCAGUGGCGAAGGCGGUUUACUGGGCCACAUCUGACGCUGAUGUACGAAAGCGUGGGGAGCAAACAGGAUUAGAUACCCCUGUAGUC